CGUGUAACAUAUGCAAAUGUUCAGGAUGCGGUAUGAGUUUUAUACGCUGGAUGUAUAUGAGGUCAUAUACAAAGCUCGGCUGGAGGCCUCGCUGCAUUUGGGAGGCAUGAGAAUUUGAGGGAAAACUUCAGUUCUCAUAUGAUCAAACAUACCUCGUCAUCUGCCUUUAAAAUGCAAAUCAGGCCCUGGUUUGGCUCUUUGGGUUUUUAGGAGACCAGGAGUUAGCAUCCACUUCUGGGUCAGCACCACAGCUCGGGGCUGAGGCUUGUGUGACUGCAGUCCCCCCGGAUCAGUAGGUGGCCAAAGACCCAUUUUCAGCUACAUGAGGUCAUGCCCAAGCUGCUAACAGCAGGGAUUGCGGAUGCUCCAGGAGCCAAAUGGGACAUCAGGGAUGCAGGCACCACUACAUCCAUUUCCCAGCACCCAGGGACCCUUCCUGGACAAGUAGCAACUUCUAGCAGGGGAAAUCCAGUGGUGUAAUGGUUUUUGGGCAGGCCUUCUGUGUGAGAGUGAACCCCAGUCAGUAGAUAAGGCUACAAUGUGGUCUGAAAUCCUCCCUGCAUCCUUUAUUUAUUUAUUUAUUUUCUAUCCAUUGCAGGCCUCAAGGAUUUUGUGUGAAGAUGUGACAACCAGCAGCCAAACAAACUCAUAACACCCUGCAGGCUGAGGCUCAGCAACAAAUGCUGAUGCACACACACAAAAAAAGCAGACCAGAGCCCUCAACAAGCUAUAGCACUGCCGUGGAGGAAGGAGCAUAACCUCACUGCUUUGCUCUUUGCCCUGGAGGAAGGAGCAUAACCUUACUUCUUUGCUCUUUGCCCUUUUAGCUAUUCACAGAGCUUAAUGCUGUGUUAUUCCCAACAAUGAGCAGAAUAAUCAAAGUCCCACCUGGCUUAGUCAGUCUAACAUCUUCCCUUUAGUCACAGACUCCCGUGAUUUUCUGACCAUCAUCUUGGAUAUAUGCUAUUAUAUCAUCCCAGCAACAGAGAAGAUGUUUACAUUUGGUAACCGAAACUGCAGUUCAGGCUCACCAGCCUGCUCUAAUCUGAUCACAUAAAUAAAUCCCUGGCCACAGUGGAAAGCAGACGCUGCAAGCACAGCUGGUGCUGCAACCUCUGCAUCUCCCUGCUCAUGCCAUGAUGCGCAGCCUACAAGCUAAUAGCAUGUCUGUCCCGGGAGGGCACUCUUCUCCCUUACGGCCCUCCUGUGAACUCCCAUAGGCCCCGAGCUGUGGCUGUGUCCCUGGGAGAAAUGUUUUCCCUUCCUGACUUAGAAAUCAGCCGCAGGUUGCUGUUUGCAGUGGCUGGGGACCCCAACCACUACAGGGCCUCAGCGGCAGUGCUUGCUGCUGCCACCCCUCUCCUGGCCUGGGAGCAAGGAUUGCAACUGAGCCAGGGGUGGGAGGCAGAAGAAGAGUUAAAAAGAGAAGCUCUCUUGUUAUUAACACAUUUCUGUCCUCUAAUCCACUCACAUCCUGCUCUUACAAAUGCAUUUUUGUUAAGCAUUCAGCUACAGGGGGAGAAUACAAGGAGAUGGAUUGAUGUUUGUGUAGGUAUGGAUGCUUUUGUGUGCAAAUUGCAUUUUGAUAGAUAGACACGCACACACGCCCAGAACACUGGCUGUAUUAAAAAUCAACAGAAAACAUCUCACAGACUUAAGUGAAGCUAGCAUUUCCCCUCUCACAUUCAAAAUGAAUCUCAGUAACCUGGUUUCAGCUGUCAGAGCUUCUCCUGAUAAAUUCAGCAGCACUGGGAGGGAGAGACCAACGCCCUGUGCAAGUGGCAUCCUGGCAAGGAGCCUUUUUUCCUUGUCUGCUGCAUGGAUCCUCUUUUGGUCUGUGCAGGAAAAUCCAAAAUUAAAGUGUGUCCCCCCCUCUUCUUCAGUUUACAUGUCAGGGAAUACUGCCCUGAUUAACAGAAGCCCCUUCAGUGAUAAAAUUUCCCUGCGUGUGAGUCACAGGAAAUUAUAAUCACUGCUUUCUGAGAUUGCAGAACACAAUGAGAUUUCUGAGCUACAAACAGACUUCAAUUAUUCUUGAAAGACAGACAGACCUUCAAACUGACACGAUUUGGGAAAAUAAAUAUUCUUUUGUCUGCACUGCUGGUGGCAAUUUCCCAUUAGGCAGGAAAAGCCUUCUUUGAUGAAUGAAUAUUGUCUGCACAUUAGAAGAGGAGCUACUGUGUGUAUCCUAAUAGCUCUCGUACACUCGGGCUCAGCCUCACGUGAGGCCCUUGAACCCUUAGGGUACAAUGUGGUAGCAAUCAUUAGCAUGCUGCAUUCUGUAUUGCAGCAGAUGAGAAAAGGAUGGUGCAUAUUAAAGUAAAUUUGACCAACUUCCAACUCACCUGCAAGUCAUGUGGCAAUCUACCACAUAAUAUUUAGCAAUCUGCCUUCUUGGUCUGCAGUUAGUCCUUUCCAGCCUAGAGACUUCAUGAGGAACACUCCCAUUGGAGAUGUUUUUUUUUUUUUUUCCAUAUAUGAUUAUUUUCUAAUUUUAACAUUUAAUCACUUUUCCUUUUUGUACUUAUUUUCUAUAGUGGUAAUUUAACCAAAAUUAGAGCACCACGUAGAACUAAAUAGAAGUACUGUUUGCAGAAGCCAAAGGACAUCGCGUUAGUGCCUUUGACAAGCUGUGGAUCUUUUGGAAGAUCCACCAAGUCUCACAAUAUUUCCUUCCCUUGGAAUACAUUAACAGGCAUUAAUCAUAUUAAUCAUAAUUAAUUGUUAACGUGGCAGCGUUGCAUUUUUGCCGGUCUUUUUUUUCCUGGGACUGGUAUUGGAUUAAUUGGCCUGGAGAUAUCUGGGUCACCCCAUUGAGUCCCUUCCGCUCUUCUGGGACUUCGCUGUCACACCAAAGAUUAGUUAGGAGUGAGCUGAUGUUUUUAUUGGAGAGAUUAAAAACCCCAAACAACAAAACUCCCGACAUUAAGAAAAAGAAGCAGAAGAGCUACCGAUGAGAAGUGGUCUGCAAGUGGUGGCACCAGUCUGCACACAAGCCAGCUGCAGGCAGAGAUACGGCAGAGACCGAGGUGGUACUCGCAGACCGAAUGUGAUACAGGAACAGCAAACCCCAGAGUCAGAAAGAAAGGCCAUAAAAUCCCGACGACUCCCUGUCCGAGUCUUACUUCCAAAGAGAACCACAGGCAAAACCCCAAAUGUUUUAGCCUCAUCCCGACUGCUCAGGACCUCGGCAGUGUGACCACGCUUUGCCACCAAGCACUUGUCUGAGUACGUUUUGGCUCCACCAGCCAGCUGAGCUACUGCCGAGUGCUCAGCUCAGUGGACAAUGUUUUAAGGCAGGGGGGUAGCUGUGGGAAAAAAAAGAGGACCACAACUCACCUUGUAAGUGUCAAGACUGGUUUUAAAAAAAGCCCCACAAGAAUUAUGGCCUCUUCGGUGUCCCACAGCGACAGGUACAGAAACAUUGGACACGGCAUGUACAUAACAUUACUUACAGACUCUACAUGGAAAAUGUUAACCGAUUUGUCACGGAAAUCUGGGAUCGAGCAACACGGCUGUACAAAUUCACACCUUGAGAAAGGCGAAGUGUGGACCGCUCCUCUGCAAGAGGAUCCUCAGUCGAUGCUUUGUAUCGGAAGCAUUAAAACAACGACGACAACUUCUUUUCUGAAUCUCAAUUCAUUAUUGUGUUAGAUUUCAGAAACUGGAAAAGGUUCCCUUUAGAAAAUGCGUGACUAUUCAGACUAUGAGUUCACAACCUAAUUAUUAAAUAAUUAAAAAAAAAAAGAAAAAAGGAUUCAACUGUCAUGAAGUCUUACAUGGCUGCAAUAUUUUAAAGCAAUACCAACAAUACAAGGCAUAGAAAUUUUCUCCUGCAACACUUGUAAAGGGAUUCACAUGAAAAGCAAAAGGAUUAUUAAAGAAUAAACUGCUCUGCAGAACAGGGAGGUGAGAGGCUAGCCAUGAAUUCAACCAGAUUCCUUGAAGUGGAACUCCAGCUGCUUAAAAACAUAUCACUUCAUAAUUCAGAAAAUGAUGACCCGUUACGUCUGCAUACUCCCAUUAAAUACGAUACCCCAAAUGGCAUAACACCCCUCCUUGAAAAGUUUUUACCUCAUCUCCACCGUUACCUCCACAGUUUAAACAAAAGAACAACUAUCCAAAUGUAAAAUGCUCUUUUUUUUUUUUUAAUUA